UACAAAUGAUGAAAUCAAUUAAGUGGGAGUGUGCAUCUGGCAACAGUUGGCGCACGCAUGACCAUAUACUAAUCUUCUCGCUGAUGGC
rfam:Drosophila busckii chromosome X sequence.